AUGAAACAUGCACUCGUGGGUUUUUCAAAGAUCUCAAAUAGCGCUCGUCCUUCAGACUCGUGCUAUUUUGAGAUCUUUGAAAAACCCACUCGCGAUCGUGCAUGUUU